rnacentral:rRNA from 1 species
GGAUUAGAUACCCUGGUAGUCCACGCCGUAAACGAUGUCUACUAGCAGCUCGCCUCGUUAGAGGGGUUUUGCGCAGCUAACGCGUUAAGUAGACCGCCUGGGGAGUACGGCCGCAAGGUUAAAACUCAAAUGAAUUGACGGGGGCCCGCACAAGCGGUGGAGCAUGUGGUUUAAUUCGAUGCAACGCGAAGAACCUUACCACCCCUUGACAUCCAGAGAACUUACUAGAGAUAGUUUGGUGCCUUCGGGAACUCUGAGACAGGUGCUGCAUGGCUGUCGUCAGCUCGUGCCG